AUAAAGCUACCAAAGGAAAAUGUUUAAACAGAUUUUAUCUGCACUUAUUAUAGACUCUGGAAAUUUACACCAAAUACAAUCUGAGAUUGAAAAAAAACAGAAAGGUUUUGAUUUUUUUUUUGACAUUAUCUUCAGCCCUGUUGUAAAAUACUAAGUUACUAAAAACCCAAAGGAGUAUUUUGCUUUUUAAAAUUCUUAACAUAAAAAAUAUUUGCCCUUUACUGUAAUGAAUUCUUGGGCUCUGCCGUAGUCUGUGUGUCUCUGGCAUGGCCAAGGCAGGCGAGCUGAAUGAAAGAAAAGUGAUUUUUUUUUUAUUUCAAUGACUGUGAUAAAGACAAAUGAUUCAAGCAUAUUUGGGGAACUUAGAAGUGAAGAGGACCUUAAAUACUGUUGUUCAUUAAAAUCUCCUAGGGAAAACAUGUAUUAAUAAUUUUGCAGGGAAUUAAGUUUUUUCAGCUUCUCUGUGGUUGGUUUUUAAUAUUUAGAAGGGUCUUGGGUAACUAGAGAGGUGUAGAACAGUGGAAAAACAGGAAACAGGCACAGCAAUGUGUCCCCAGCAGUUCAGUGGUGAGGCCCUGACAAAAUGCAAGGACAGGAUAAUAUUUGCUUGUGACAUCCUUAACAGAAAAGAGAAUGGAGACCAGAUAUUUGCUCAGUUGCCUCAGGAUGAUAAGCCUCCAGUAUUAAUCCUCAGAAAUAACUGAGUGGGAUGGGAAAAGGCUGAAUUAACUAAGAUAAUAGGAUGGACUGGUUUCCAUAUAGGAAUGACUAUGGUCAUAACUCUUCAGUCUUACAGAGAGAAGUAGAGGAAGCACAUGACAAAAACCUAUAAAAUGAAGAAAACCUAUAAAAUGAAGAAGGGUAGGAAUUUGUGUCUUUUCUCAUUUCAAGAAUGAUAAAAAGACCCAAAAGAUUCAGAGAGGGGUGACGAGGAUGGCCAAAGACACAGAAAACUUCUGAAUGUAGGAUGAGGAUGUAGACUUGGACUGUCUGACCUGUUAAACAGAUAAUGGAAGGAAAUAUUCAAGAAGGCUAUAAAAUCAUGAGUGGUGUGAUGGUGGAUGGGGAGCAAGUGUUCCAGAGCAAGGACCACUUGGCCCCCAGCAGUUAUGCAGGCAGUGGGCAGCAGCAGGCUACACACUGACAAGAGCAAGGUCUCUGCAGGAUGUGCUGGUCCACUGUGGAACACCCUGCCAGUGGCUGCUGGAAGGCUGGAGGCAGGCAAAGAGAGGCGGAGCUGCUCUGCAGGAGCUAAUCCCCACUGUCUCCCUCCCCUUCUCCCUCUCCCUGUUGUUGUUUCUUGCUCUCCCCGCAUGUUCCAGUAGAGAAUGUCAAGAGACCACUUCUACCUUGGGAAUGCCUGAGCUGGAGGCUGGUGGGAGACAUGGGCAGAUCUGAGCACAGCGGCUCCACAGGCUUGUCCAGGACUAUUCUAAUCCCCUACAUUCCCCAGUCUGUCAUUCUUGGAGGCAAAACUUUGGGAUGAAUGAUCCUGUCAUGUGUUCCAGGGAGAAGAGCUGCAACAAACCACAAACUGAACCAAACUUACCACAGAACUAGAUUUUCUACUUUCAGCCAAGCCAACAGAGUUGAUUCCUUGGAGUACCACUUAACUAUUCAUUUAUUUGGUGAAGAAUUUAAGAAAUCGUGUAGCUAAUGAGGACUCUCCAGGAUUUAUGCACACAAUAAAUUUAGGGUUUUCUGAACCGAAAAA